rnacentral:rRNA from 1 species
UACGAAGGGGGCUAGCGUUGUUCGGAAUUACUGGGCGUAAAGCGUGCGCAGGCGGCUUCUCAAGUCAGGGGUGAAAGCCCAGAGCUCAACUCUGGAACUGCCUUUGAUACUGAGAGGCUCGAGUCCGGGAGAGGUGAGUGGAACUGCGAGUGUAGAGGUGAAAUUCGUAGAUAUUCGCAAGAACACCAGUGGCGAAGGCGGCUCGCUGGAACGGUACUGACGCUGAGACGCGAAAGCGUGGGGAGCAAACA